rnacentral:rRNA from 1 species
UCGAGAGGCUUCGGCAAUGGGGGAAACCCUGACCGAGCGACGCCGCGUGGGUGAUGAAGUCCUUCGGGAUGUAAAACCCUGUCAUACGGGAUGAAAAACCGAUCGGUUAAUAGCCUUUCAGUUUGACAGUACUGUAAGAGGAAGCUCCGGCUAACUCCGUGCCAGCAGCCGCGGUAAUACGGGGGGAGCGAGCGUUAUUCGGAUUUACUGGGCGUAAAGGGUUCGUAGGCGGUCAAGUAAGUCAGGGGUGAAAUCUAACGGCUUAACCGUUAAACUGCCCUUGAAACCGCUUGACUUGAGGACAUGAGAGGAAAGCGGAAUUCUUGGUGUAGCGGUGAAAUGCGUGGAUAUCAAGAGGAACACCAGUGGCGAAGGCGGCUUUCUGGCAUGUUACUGACGCUGAGGAACGAAAGUCAGGGGAGCGAACGGGAUUAGAUACCCGUNUANUC